GUCGAGAAUCUUUCGCAAUGCCCGAAAGGGUGACGAAGCGACGCCGCGUGCGGGAGGAAGGCCUUCGGGUUGUAAACCGCUGUCGGGAGUUAAGAAAUGCAAGGAUGUUAAUAGCGUUCUUGCUUGACUAAGGCUCCGGAGGAAGCCACGGCUAACUCUGUGCCAGCAGCCGCGGUAAUACAGAGGCGGCAAGCGUUGUUCGGAAUUAUUGGGCGUAAAGAGCACGUAGGCGGCUGUGUAAGUCGGUUGUGAAAGCCUUCCGCUCAACGGAAGAACGGCAUCCGAUACUGCAUGGCUUGAGUGUGGGAGGGGAGAGUGGAACUUCUGGUGGAGCGGUGAAAUGCGUAGAUAUCAGAAGGAACACCGGCGGCGAAGGCGACUCUCUGGUCCAUAACUGACGCUGAGUGUGCGAAAGCUAGGGGAGCAAACGGGAUUAGAAACCCUAGUAGUCC
rnacentral:rRNA from 1 species